ACUACAUCAGAAGUGAGCUCGUGGGGUUGAUGAAGACACUGUCCAGCCUAUGGAAGGGUAAAAGGCACAACCUUUGCCCCCUCAGAGGAUCCAUCCUCCGCCCUGCCUCCAGUAAACGCUUCCUGGGCCCUAAGGUCCCUCGUCAUUCACAGGUGACACUUCACUGAUGCUUUUGCAAAAAUGCUUCAUCUUUAAGAAGGCUCACAGAAAGGAUUUUCUGGCAAGCACAAGAUUCUGAUAACUUCCAGAUCAUACCGCUGAACUGGGUGAGAAAUUAAUUCUAAUGGAAACCCUGAUGGUUUCAUCAAACUGUUAAUAAGAUCAAGGAUUAGUUACAUGGGCCUGAGUUAACUGAUGAAUAUAGUUAUAACCGUUUUUAGUCUGUAUCUUCUAGACAUAAGGAAAUCUUUAAAAAAAAUUAAAUUUGAUAUUCCUUAGGAAAAAUUCUGGCACAGUAGAUUUAAGAGAGACUAUACGAUCAAUUACACUUAGGUAAAUAAUCAGGCCAAGUUUAUCCAAAAGACUUAAUUUGGCAGUGUCAGUCGCUCACUCGUUUUCGACUCUUUGCAAUCCCAUGGACCGAAGUGUCCAUGGAAUUCUCCAGGCGAGAAUACUGGAGUGGGUUGCCAUUUCCCUCUCCAGACGAUCUUCCUGACCCAGGGACUGAACCCAGGUGUUCUACGUUGCAAGCAGAUUCUUUACCGCCUGAGCCACAAAGGGUAAUUUAGAGAGAUUAUGUUUUGAUGACAUACCUUUGUGGAGACUGAGGUUUUGUAUAUGCUGAGGUUGCUGUAUUAGAUGACCUUGUUGUUAUGUUAUAUUAUAAAGCCUAAGUUUUAAAGGAAUAUUCCAAGCUUGUUUCUGAAGCUGAUCACAGUAAUCUGUCUUUGGAUGAAGAUCAGAUGCCCUGUGAUCCACAACCAGGAGAUUAUACAUACUGGAAAAGACAUCAUUUAUUCAGACUCUCUCCAACCUAAAUGAAAGAUCUGUCAGGUAUCUAGUAGCUCGUGCACAGUGGAAACGGAAAGAAACUGACUCUUGAAUGAACUACUUCCCACUUAAGGGCUUCUGCACUGGACUGGUCUAUAGAAAGGACUGCUGACCUCCAAAAGCGCUGACCCCAGGAUGAGAAAGAGAACCCAGUGUAGACAGCUGAGCCAGGAAUCUGAGCCGGGUCUGUACGAUCCACCGUAAUUCAACUGAACUGUUCACCAACUGUCUCCCUCUCAAAACAGAAAGUUUUACUUCCAAUCAUACUUCUGACUCCAAUGUUCAAGACAGAAAAUUCUGUCAAGUUGAGUACUCAUGACAUUUAUCACCACUUGCUUUUAACUCUACUCUAAAAGCCUAAGUACGAUGUUUGUGUGACAAUUUGGUAUAAAUGAUAAUGUAUAGCCUAUAAAAUUAGCACACCUGUGAGCUGGUUCAC